rnacentral:tRNA from 2 species
GGGCGAGUGGUGGAAUUGGUAGACACAACGGACUUAAAAUCCGUCGAUCAUUUAACGAUCGUAAGGGUUCAAGUCCCUUCUCGCCCAUCA